CGGGAUCUAGUUGGACCCGGGACUUUGUGACGGGACGUGUUGCAUUGUCGCUGCUGUAAAGAUCUCAGGGUUACACUGUGCUCGGAUCGACCUGACUCUCCACGCUGAGGGAAUUAUUCAUUACGCUAACCGAAUGAAAGUGUUGAAAACCAGCUUCUGGCACUUAAAGGACCCAUGAAGAACUGCAUCAGACAUGUCACAACCCACGACUGCUAAAAGACCUCGAAUCGAUGCUGAACAGCACAAACACAACAAAACACAAUCCCUCAUCGCUUGUGCAUUGGAAACUCUUCAUGAUGCCAGUUAUGAUUUAUUAUCUACUAACUGGGUUUCUGCACUACUUAAAGGGAGUUGUAAACUUCCUAGUCUGACAGAUGAGGAAAAAUCGGUCACACCUGUGUUUUGUGUAAACAAGUCCUUAUCAGAGACGUUUCUGUCUGUGAUUUUGGACAAGAUCGAGGCAGAGAAAGAGUCUAUGAGACAUGAACUCCUGCAGUCUCUCUGUAGGGGUUAUGUAGCCUUAUGUGAACAGUGAGUAGACUCUCAUAAAGCUCAUGCCCUCGCCUACAGACUUCUUA